CCGAUGUUAGUAACAAAAGAUAAAUUGAUAGUGAUUGGUGGAGUAUGCGUUGCAUGAGGUGCAGUUAUACAGUAUUAGUUUGACGAAGGCCGGUGAACCUCCUCCUCGAUUUUACGUUGAAUAUUAUUAUAAAAGUCUGAAGGAAAUAAUUUUUGCGACAGAUAUUACAAUUUUUAAGUGAUGUGAUGUUGGAUGUUUAAACUUUGUUACCUGUGUCGUAUUUUACUAGCUUCCGCGUUGUAUGUGACUUGGAUUCGUUUUGGAUUGGUAAACCUAAUUUCGGUCUGUGGACGGCGAGCAAGGGUAACUCGCCGCCCGACCAGAACAAGACCCGGGCGUACGGUGGCGCGUCGCCUUCCGCGCGCUCCUCAAUGAGACAUUAUAGACCACCACAGGAGUGCUCAGCCCCUGUAGGGUUAAUGCCUGAUCCGGAGCUGCGGACUACUUAGCGGGUUUACCGGGGCUCCGGCUCGAAAUCAGGAGUAUCCUACUACGUGGUGAUUUUUACUCAGUAACGCUCCCUCUCGCCACACCAUAGGCGGGAGAAGUCACUUGAUUAUAAUAAUAUUAUCCCCCCCCCCUCAAAAAUAGCUUACUUUUAUGACGUACGCAUAUUUAUGUGGCGUCUUGAUGUAUUCAAAUAGGUAUUUCCCCUGUCCUAAUACUGCCGAGAAUAAAUCCGCACUAUAUAGAUACCAGGUUAAUGCCAUUUUCGCCGGAUAAGAUAAAUAGUGUAAUGCAUUAAUAUAGCCAAAAUAUUCAUGGUCAGGCGCCAGCUGGUAAACCUGGGAAACUUUUAUUUUGGUUUUGUAAUAAAUUAAAAAAUUAUCAAACAUCUGUUCAAGUUUCAGAAAGUAAAACUCGUAAGUUUUAUCUCUACAUACAAUGUUGGUAUUGUUUAGACUUGUGCUCAAAGCUGACGACGCGACGGUCUGCACUUCCACGAAGUGCAAUAAAACAUUAUAAUCCGCUUGUUUACAUGCAAGUAGGAUUUAUCUUUAUUGAUAUCAAAAUUCUAGUUUCAUUAUUUUCCAUGUUGUUAUUAUAAUAGUAGAUUUAAAUGUUUAUUUAAAAGGUCUAACUGUUAUCGUCUGUCAAUGUUUCUAAUCACACUAGACGUCUCAUUUCACUGCAAGAAUUGUUUACAUUAAUUAGAGAUUAAUAUCUAUACCAAAUAUUUAUCAGUCAUUUAAUGUACCCUUUUUAUUGUUUUGAUGUUUUAUUAGUGUAUUUUUUUAAUAUUACGGUCAAUUCUGUUACAAGUCUGGCUAAGAUUAUGUCUCCAGGGGAGGCAAUAUAUUUACUUUUAAGCAGAUAAAGAAAAAUUCAAUCACAUGA